ACUGUUUUACGUGCGCAUCAUCAAGUUUGCCCCAAUUGCUUAAGAGCAUCAUUGGGCUUGGUUUGGUUUCUGUGUUGGCUACCUACUUGGAAGAGAGUGUCCCUUAAUAUUUGUCUUUGUWUCGGCUUGCMCCCUUUUAGGGGGAAUGCUCGKUGAUCUUAGUAAUGCUUUUCAUAUUCCAUUGUCACGCUAUCACAGUGUAGUGGUGGCAACGGCCUAUGUGUAAGUAUUCGUAAUCUUGGAUGCGGAAUGCGGAAUUGGGUAUUGGGUUGAAUAAACCUUUUAUCCCAAGCAGAGCAUYUUAUGCUYGGCACGUACGACACUAGCAAUUGCGUUGACCUUUCCCAACUUGAUUGGUGGGGGGGGCUCAUGCGAUGCAAGC
rnacentral:misc_RNA from 1 species